rnacentral:misc_RNA from 1 species
GAUGAAGAACGUAGCGAAAUGCGAUAAGUAAUGUGAAUUGCAGAGUUCAGUGAAUCAUCGAAUCUUUGAACGCACAUUGCGCCCGCCAGUAUUCUGGCGGGCAUGCCUGUUCGAGCGUCAUUACAACCCUCAGGCCCCCGGGCCUGGCGUUGGGGAUCGGCGGAAGCCCCCUGCGGGCACAACGCCGUCCCCCAAAUACAGUGGCGGUCCCGCCGCAGCUUCCAUUGCGUAGUAGCUAACACCUCGCAACUGGAGAGCGGCGCGGCCACGCCGUAAAACACCCAACUUCUGAAUGUUGACCUCGAAUCAGGUAGGAAUACCCGCUGAACUUAAGCAUAUCAAUAAGCGGAGA